rnacentral:miRNA from 1 species
UUGUAAUUACAGUCAGUGUAGU